rnacentral:rRNA from 1 species
GAUCUAUCCAUGGCCAGGCUGAAGCUUGAGUAAAAUCAAGUGGAGGGCCGAACCUUAGUCUGUUGAAAAAGGCAGGGAUGAGCUGUGGAUAGGAGUGAAAGGCUAAUCAAACCCGGAGAUAGCUGGUACUCCCCGAAAUAGCUUUAGGGCUAGCCUCACGGGGAUUGUUACGGAGGUAGAGCACUGGAUGGGCUAGGGCCCUUCACCGGGUACCAAACUCAACCAAACUCCGAAUGCCGUAACACAAUACGUGGGAGUCAGACUACGGGCGAUAAGGUUCGUGGUCGAAAGGGAAACAGCCCAGACCGCCGGCUAAGGUCCCAAAGUUGUGCUGAGUGGAAAAGGAAGUGUGAUUGCCCAGACAGCCAGGAGGUUGGCUUAGAAGCAGCCAUGCCUUGAAAGAGUGCGUAACAGCUCACUGGUCGAGUAGUCAUGCGCCGACAAUGUAACGGGGCUAAGCACAGCACCGAAGCCGCGGACCUAUGGAACCUUUCGGGGUUUUGUAGGUGGUAGGGGAGCGUUCCAUGGACCGAUGAAGGUGUACCGGCGAGGUAUGCUGGAGGGGAUGGAAGUGAGAAUGCAGGUAUGAGUAACGAAAAGAGGGGUGAGAUCCCCCUCCGCCGAAAGCCUAAGGUUUCCAGGGUUAAGGUAAUCUUCCCAAGGGUUAGUCGGCCCCUAAGGCGAGGCUGAAAAGCGUAGUCGAUGGGAAACGGGUUAAUAUUCCCGUACCUCUUGUAAUUUCGAAGGAACGACGCAUGAGGCGAUGCCCGGCCGGGCGACGGUUGUCCCGGUCCAAGCGUGCGAGCCGCUGAGAGUGGUAGGAAAAUCCGCCACUUGAGGUGAGCCGUGAAGGCGAGCGGAGCUACGGCGAAGCGAAGCGGGUAGGAGUCAAGGUGCCAAGAAAGAGUUUCUAAGGAUAGGUUACAAGGGACCGUACCGCAAACCGACACAGGUGGGCGAGAAGAGGAUUCUCAGGCGAACGGGAGAACUCGCGUUAAGGAACUCGGCAAAAUGCACACGUAACUUCGGGAGAAGUGUGGCCUGCUGUGGGAGUCAAAUCUUGAAGCAGGUUGCAGAGAAAUGGCCCAAGCGACUGUUUACCAAAAACACAGGUCUCUGCGAACCAGCAAUGGGACGUAUAGGGACUGACACCUGCACGGUGCCGGAAGGUUAAGAGGAGGAGUUAGCGUCGCAAGAUGCGAAGCCCCGAAUUGAAGCCCCGGUAAACGGCGGCCGUAACUAUAACGGUCCUAAGGUAGCGAAAUUCCUUGUCGGGUAAGUUCCGACCCGCACGAAUGGUGUAACGACUUGGGCGCUGUCUCAACGCGAGACCCGGUGAAAUUGAAGUAUCGGUGAAGAUGCCGAUUACCUGUGGUUAGACGGAAAGACCCCGUGAACCUUUACUGUAACUUGGCAUUGAACGCUGUCUUGCAAUGUGUAGGAUAGGUGGGAGACUGAGAAGCAUGGUCGGCAGGCUGUGUGGAGUCAUUGGUGAAAUACCACUCUUUGUAGGUUAGCGUUCUAACGCGCUCCGUGAAGCCGGAGUGCGGACCAUGUCAGGCGGGCGGUUUGACUGGGGCGGUCGCCUCCAAAAGAGUAACGGAGGUGCGCGAAGGUCACCUUACAC